GUUAUCGGAUUCACUUUAAUCCAUGUGUGUUGGUGUGGGUUGGGAUGAAAUUUAGUUCAUGUUCCACUCCAAUCCAUCUCAACACAUGUGGAUUGAUGUGAAUCCGACU
rfam:Sorghum bicolor cultivar BTx623 chromosome 6, whole genome shotgun sequence.